CUUUUUUUUUUUUUUUCCUCUGUUCAUCCAUCAGAUCUCAGAUAUCAACCCCUCCAUUUACACAAGAAAAUAUACAUAUUUUUUUUUGAGAGAAUUUCUCAUUUCCUUUCGUUAUUUUUUUCAUUCUUUCAACAAGAAGACGAAGGGGACUGAUUCCAAAUGGAUGUGCCUAGCUCAUGGGACGCGUUACGCAAGCAGGCAAGAAAACUUGAAGCUCAGUUGGAUGAGCAGAUGAAUUCAUACCGUAAACUGGUUUCUGCAAAAGCUUCUACAAAAGUUGAUGCUGCUGAGAAUGAUCUUGAAUCUGGGAUAGACCGACUACUAAAGCAACUCCAACAAGUGAAUUCACAGAUGCAAGCUUGGGUGUCAUCUGGAGGAUCAGAAAUGGUUUCUCACACCUUGACUCGCCAUCAAGAAAUUCUUCAAGAUCUUACUCAGGAGUUUCAUCG
rnacentral:misc_RNA from 1 species